CGAUUAACUGUAAAUUGUCAUUGUCUGUUCGGCAACUGUCAAAAAAGAAGUCGAUUUAAAAUUCUUCUUCUAGGAGCAACGUCCAUAGCAACAAGAAGCAAGCCCGCCGAUCUAUAAAUCUACAUUUUCUUAGUUUUGUGAAAAGCAUGUCUAAUCCAGAGGGGAGUUCGUUUGAAGACUCCAACGCAACGGUACCAUUUCAUGCUUCCACUGCUGAUCAGGCCCGAGCUAUUCAACUAUAUAGUAUUCGGCUAAUUCGAGCCGGGCUUUUGUCGAACCGUGAAGCAAGGCGCUUUAUAAUAAUAAGCAAAUAUUGGAAUCUGAAAAAACUUGGAUUAGAAUCCAGCACUGCCAACCUGGCUGUAGAACAAGUCAAGGCACCAGAAUCUUCGGAUGAGGACUAAGCAUCAACGCUGGAUGAGUCAUUUUCCAUGUGGAAGUCAAGUUGUUUUGGUAUUCUAGAUUCUGCCAGGAAAGGGGAUGCUGGAGCACCAGAAUCAAAUGCGAACCAAAUUUUAAAGACUCACGUAUAUGUAUGUACGUAUAUAAUAUGUAUAUACGAGGUUAUAUUUAUUUAGGAAUAAAAUAAAAAUGUAAUACACUA